GCCGGCCUAGCUAAAUUGGUAGAGCAACUGACUUGUAAUCAGUAGGUUGGGGGUUCAAGUCCUCUGGCCGGCACCA
rnacentral:tRNA from 1 species